AGACCAGGCUGGCCUCAUACUCACAGAGAUCCAACUGCCUCUGCCUCCCAAGUGCUGGGAUUAAAGGUGUGCACCACCACCACCUGGCGAAUCAUUAUUAUUUUUUAAAUCCUGAAAUAAAUUAAUACCAGUUUCAUGAUUUGUAUUUGAUAGGUUUCAGCACCAUGAGAUUAGAAUUACUUAUCCAUCCAUCUCUCUACUCAUUUGUUCAUUCUGUACUAUCUGCAAGGUGCAUUUUAGGCACUAGAGAAACAGUUGUGCAUGGGAUAGAUACUGUUGCUAAGCAACUUCCCUUAGGGGCUGGUUGUAGCCAUGCAGUACUGCGUCUUGAGAAAGUGCUGCCUAAGAAGUGGUCUCCUAGCUGGCCAGCAUUCUUACCUGGGAGCCGGGUAGUUGAACCCAGCAUCUCUAAAGUCGUAUUGUAUUGUAACCCCCCCCCCCUUUCUUGAUUGUAUUAGAUGCUGUUUCCUGGAAGGGGCACAAAAAAGGGCUAAAUGUGGUUCUGUUCUUUUGUCUAAUCUUUCCCCUAGUUUAAAUGCCUCCCUGGGGCAAAGAAAGGAAUGACAGUCAAAAUGAAAAUUAGCUUUGUAAAACUGUCAAAAGAUAUUUCAUUCUUUGCAGCCUAAAAAGUUUAUGCUAUAAUAUGGGCCUUUUUGAAAAAUGAUCUUCAGAUAACUACAAAUGUUGAAAAAGUACAAAAUCAAGUAUUGGGCUACUCAUGGAGACCUCUUUGUGGUUUUAAUUUUUCCAUAAAGGACUUAUGUGAAGAUGCGAGCAGGCAAGCCACCUGCUGUGUUUGCAGAAUAUCUGCCUUUUACCAAAAUGAAAAUGGAAAUUAUAUCGCUUUAAAAAUAUGCUAUAUGGCCAGAUAUUCAUAUUUUAGUCUUAAGUGACUGAAGGGAAGAAACAAAGUGAUUCAGGAAAUGCUGAUCAUGUGUUUCACAGAGUAGAUGACAUCAGUCUUUUGAAGGUGGAGAUUAUUUUGACUAAGUAGAAAAACAGGAGAGUGGGAAAGCCCUUCUGAAUGGAUAGAUGGGCUGUCAUAAAGACACAAGGAGGACUGUAAGCUCUGUAAGCCUAGAUGUGUAAGCUUGUGAAAAAUGACAGGUGCCACUUAAGUCAUGAAUUCUCACACACAUACGUUUUGAUUCAUACAUGCCUGUCUGAAUAUCUACUGCAUUUCCAAUAUGUCAGAAACAACUCAGAUCUAUUGUCAGAACCUAGUCCCAUCAGUUUCUUAGCCCAGAUAAUGACACACCCACCUCCUUGGUCCAAAACCUUUCCAACCCACAGCAAGUCUGUUAGAAAAUCUUGCAGGUUUUUCUUAAAAUCUCAAAAUCUUUUUUCUAUAGCCCAGCCUUCCCUUAAAUAAGCCACAGAAGUGGUCAUGCUUUCUUCUGAGUCCUGCGGAGUCCUGCUUCCCACCCUGGUCUCCUCAGCACAGUAUCUGCACCACAGUACCAGGACCUUUAAACUCUGGGUCAUGCCAUUCCUUUUGGGUUUUUUUUUGUUUUGUUUUGUUUUGUUUUGUUUUGUUUUGUUUUCCCAGUACUUCCUGCCUUGCUCAGAAAGAGUCAAGUCUUUGUGAUAGUUGGUGGAGGCCUCCAUGGUCACCAUAUAAUCUGUGUGCCCUCUCUCCUUCCUUGUCUCUUCUCCCCUCACCACACACUCUGCACCAACCACUCCAUUUUCACAGGCUUCUAGCCUUGUUCCCAUCCCAGGCCCUUGUGCUGGCUGUGACUUUCAGCCUGAGGCAGGCAGCCUUUUACUUUUUCAAAUCUCCUCUCAGAGAUACCUUUUCAUUAAGGCCCAACUUGACCACCCCACCUCAUUCUCUAAUGUAUCACACCUCUUAAACUAUAGCAUGUACCCAGUGUCUUAGUUAGGGUUUUACUGCUGUGAACAGGCACCAUGACCAAGGCAACUCUUAUAAAGAACAACACUUAAUUUGGGCUGACUUAAAAGUUCUGAGGUUCAGUCCAUUAUCAUCAAGGUGGGAGCAUGGCAGCCUUGGUACAGGCAGAGCUGAGUCUACAUCUUCAUCUGAAGUCGGCUAGUGGAAGACUAAUAGUGGAAGGCAGCUAAUAAAGUGAGGGUCUUAAGCCCACAGUGACACACAUACUCCAACAAGGCCACACCUCCUAAUAGUGCCACUCCCUGGGCCACUCAUAUACAAACUAUCACACCUAGCUUUACUUCCAAUUUUCCCUACUUUAGUUAAGGCUCUCACAAGAACAAGGGCUUUAUUACUUUUUUGGCUUUAGUUUUGGUGUGUAUCUGUUUAGUUCUUUCAUGGCACAUAGUAAAGAGUAAGUAAAUAAUUGGGAAGUGAGAGAAAGGCAGAGGCCUGAAAGUUAAGAGCUUUGCAUGCCAUUUAGGGAGGUACUAACUUUUUUUUUUAACUGGGUAGAAUAUGAAGAGAUUUGUAUUAUAACUGGAUCGCUCUGACCAUAGGCUAAUGAUUAGAAAUAGGGCAGGAAGUGAAAAGCUAAAGAGAUAACUCAGACAUAGAGCAUCUGAAAGACUCAGAGCUGCUUCAGAAAGGAGUUUGGGGGAUAUUCUGAGGAAAACUCUGGGACUAAGUGAACUCAAACUUGUGUGGUUAAGAAAUGACAGAUUUUUCUACCUGGAGAUGGCUAUUAUAGCCUGUGUGUAUAUCCUAUUGUGACUAUAUCAGAUUAGCUCCAUUCCAUCCUGUAUACCACACAGAAAGAGUGAUACUGAUGAAAGAGGAAGGACUGAAGGGUUUUCAUAAUUUCCAUGUCCAAAAUCAGAUGGUACUGUUCUUGCUCCAAAGAGCCUG
rnacentral:lncRNA from 1 species